rnacentral:lncRNA from 1 species
GUGACGGGCACUGAUCCCGAACUCCGCCUGUAGGGGGCGCGAAACGGGAACCCUAGCGGUGCUUCUUUGUCGUCGGAAAGAAAGGGCUAAGAGGCUGAGACAGGAACCAAAUGAGCCCUUGCCUUUUUUCCUGUAGUCACUGCUGUCCUACAAUCUUCAGCUAUCCCAGUCCAAUCUACUACUAGGCCCAAGCCAGGUUUUUGAUCUAGCACCUUAUCUAGCCUUUAUGGUUUUUCGCUGAAGACAGAAUUUCUUUGUGAAAUAGGACUAACACAUGCUUUAGAAUUAUAUUUUAAAAAGGUAAAUGAAAAUUAACAUUUAUGUGGCUAUUCUAACUCAUUUUUAAGUGUUAAAGGUUAUACAGGCCAAGUUGCACGAGAGGAGCAUCCAUGUUUGACCACAGUAUUCAAGAAGUUCCAAACUGAAAGGAAUGUCUAUGCUUAGGAUGUGAUGUAGUUCCUUGAUUACAUCCAGAUAUUUCCAAAUUAUCAACUUCCAUUUGAGUAACUAAAUUUACUGUCCCAAUAGAGCUGUGGUUCAGAGGCGUUUCAGUUUGGUGGACCGCAGUCAUGAGGGUUCAUCUCAUUUGCUUAAUGCCAAGUCCUUAGUGCUUUCUAAAUGAAAAAGAAAAGCUCAGUUUUUAAAAUACCUUUUCCAGUUUACCUUUAAUCAAGGAUCUACCUGUAUACUGUUCUGAAACUAAGCAUUUAAGGAUGAAGUCCAGAAAUGUCCCUAUUUCCUACUAGAAUUGUUUUCAUUAUGAAGAUGGGGGUGGGAAAUAAAUUUUUAGAAAGACUCCUUGUCAUAAGAAAUAUGAAUGCGCUUCAGAAAUUUCCCUCCUGAAGAACAGUCUGUGUAUGCAGGCAGAUCUUAUUUAUAUUUGUUUUAGGCAUUUGAAGUCUCAGGAAAGUUGGUCUUGAUCCAAAACACUGGGGAAAAAAAAAUAACACAGACAGUACACCAGUAGUAUUUAAAGUAAUGGCAUCGAAUAGACCCAAUGGAGAAGUCAGAAAGCAAAGAAAAAGCCUGCAGAAGUAAUUUCUCCUGGAACACGGAAACAUCAGGGUCUACCUCACGCUAAAGAGAGGAUCCUUACAUGCUUGUGUGGGCACGUCGGUGUGGACGUGUUGAGGGAGUCGUGUUUACUCAAAGGCUCACACGUGUGAGUGUGUGAACCAAGCACGGCUUGUGACCUGCUUUCAGACCUACAGAGUGGGGGAUGAAAGGAACAGCGUGAUUUCCGAUCCUUGGCCCACCCUAGUCCCAACCCCCAAGCUGCUAGGGACUCAAGAAUGAAUGAGGUAAAGAACAAGAGGGCAAGAGGCAACGUCUCGAGAAUGUGCAUGCCUUUGUGUUGAUGUACAGAACUACAUGUGUGUGACUAUAUCUCCCACCAGACACACACACACACAAACUACAGUCUCACAGCAUAAACAGAAUUGCAUAUGGAACUUGGUGAUGUCAGGUAGGACCCCGAGCAGUAGCAUAGCCUUAUUGCCACGUGUGUGUGUGUGUGUGUGUGUGUGUGUGUGUGUGUGUGUGUACAUUGAAUGGCUCAUGAGAUUUUAAGAGAUUUUUUUUAAUGUAUUUCUACUAAAUGCACUUACCUUCUACAUGUUUAUAUAUUUUGGUAAAAUUGGUUUAUUAGAUACUCGGUAUUUUAGUAAGAUGAAAUUUCCUCACACGUUUGGCUGAUGCUUUGAUGUCAAAAUUGCACAUUGCUGAGCUGAAGCUCAGACGUUUAUGCAGCUUUGGGCAUUUUCAACUGCAGACUGCAGUUCCCUUGGCUAAAAAUUGCACUGCGUGUUCCUGUGCAUUCGCUCACACUCUAACAUGUGUUUGGUCACUGUGACACUGCAGUCACUAACCGCCGUCUCUCUGACGGCAGCGUUGCUAUCACAGGACCAUUGAUUUACUUCUUUUUUGGAGUGAUGACAUGGUUAGGUCAUCACCAAACAUAACACAAGUGGAUGUGAGCAUAAGUGUGUUGUUGGAAGGUGUACAGUUCUGUUUCCUUCAGCUAUCUGAUUCACACACCCAGACUUCUUGUUAAGAAUUUAAUCUUUCAUCCAUGAAAGAACAAUUGGCCAAAAUAAUUAAAUCACCUUAACAAGUGGAAAUUAAGAGGCACUCCAGCUAGAUAGCAUCUCCCAACAACAUCAGAUUUAGUUAGUGCUUAGUGAAAACCCUUAAAUAUAUAUAUGUUUAUGUUUUCCUUGAUAUUAUUUAUGAUCAUCACUACUGCUUUUGUAUUUUUUAAUGGUGUCACAGUUAAACCACUAGUUCACCUGUGUAUCACUUACAAAACUGGCCGGCUGAAAACGAGAGAGAGAAAAUGAAUUCUGUUCUGUUGUUGAGAAGUCGAUUUAUUUUCAUCUUUCUUUCUGUAUCACUAAAAGGAAAAGAGUUGUUUGAAAAUCAUUUUAAGUUCGAUAAGUACGGAUAGCAUGUUAUCUGAAAAUUUUGAUUUGUACAUUUUGAUGUCUGAUGAUUUGCAUGGGAGAGACAAUAGUGCCCUGUCUGGAUUGUUCUCUUGUGCUUGGUUACUAUGUACUUCUCUAGAUUGUUCGUUUCAAAUGCCAUUUCUUACUCUUUGGUUUUCAGAGGCAUUCAAAGCAAAUAUCACAGUGGUCCUUUGUUUUCAGACCAAUCUAAAAAUACCUGUGAUUAAAUUUAAUUUGUUAGUGUAAAUAAAUUUCUUGCCAAUGAGUAUUAUUGUUGUUAGACAACGAAUG